AGAGUUUGAUCCUGGCUCAGGACGAACGCUGGCGGCGUGCCUAAUACAUGCAAGUCGAGCGAACUGAUUAAGAAGCUUGCUUCUUAUGACGUUAGCGGCGGACGGGUGAGUAACACGUGGGCAACCUGCCCUAUAGUUGGGGAUAACUCCGGGAAACCGGGGCUAAUACCGAAUGAUACAUUUUAACUCCUGUUAGAAUGUUGAAAGAUGGUUUACGCUAUCGCUAUAGGAUGGGCCCGCGGCGCAUUAGCUAGUUGGUGAGGUAACGGCUCACCAAGGCGACGAUGCGUAGCCGACCUGAGAGGGUGAUCGGCCACACUGGGACUGAGACACGGCCCAGACUCCUACGGGAGGCAGCAGUAGGGAAUCUUCCACAAUGGGCGAAAGCCUGAUGGAGCAACGCCGCGUGAGUGAAGAAGGUUUUCGGAUCGUAAAACUCUGUUGUAAGGGAAGAACAAGUACAGUAGUAACUGGCUGUACCUUGACGGUACCUUAUUAGAAAGCCACGGCUAACUACGUGCCAGCAGCCGCGGUAUACGUAGGUGGCAAGCGUUGUCCGGAUUUAUUGGGCGUAAAGCGCGCGCAGGUGGUUUCUUAAGUCUGAUGUGAAAGCCCACGGCUCAACCGUGGAGGGUCAUUGGAAACUGGGAGACUUGAGUGCAGAAGAGGAAAGUGGAAUUCCAAGUGUAGCGGUGAAAUGCGUAGAGAUUUGGAGGAACACCAGUGGCGAAGGCGACUUUCUGGUCUGUAACUGACACUGAGGCGCGAAAGCGUGGGGAGCAAACCAGGAUUAGAUACCCUGGUAGUCCACGCCGUAAACGAUGAGUGCUAAGUGUUAGGGGGUUUCCGCCCCUUAGUGCUGCAGCUAACGCAUUAAGCACUCCGCCUGGGGAGUACGGUCGCAAGACUGAAACUCAAAGGAAUUGACGGGGGCCCGCACAAGCGGUGGAGCAUGUGGUUUAAUUCGAAGCAACGCGAAGAACCUUACCAGGUCUUGACAUCCCAUUGACCGCUAUGGAGACAUGGCUUUCCCUUCGGGGACAGUGGUGACAGGUGGUGCAUGGUUGUCGUCAGCUCGUGUCGUGAGAUGUUGGGUUAAGUCCCGCAACGAGCGCAACCCUUGUUCUUAGUUGCCAUCAUUUAGUUGGGCACUCUAAGGAGACUGCCGGUGAUAAACCGGAGGAAGGUGGGGAUGACGUCAAAUCAUCAUGCCCCUUAUGACCUGGGCUACACACGUGCUACAAUGGACGGUACAAACGGUUGCCAACCCGCGAGGGGGAGCUAAUCCGAUAAAACCGUUCUCAGUUCGGAUUGUAGGCUGCAACUCGCCUACAUGAAGCCGGAAUCGCUAGUAAUCGCGGAUCAGCAUGCCGCGGUGAAUACGUACCCGGGCCUUGCACACACCGCCCGUCA
rnacentral:rRNA from 1 species